GAUGAACGCUGGCGGCGUGCCUAAUACAUGCAAGUCGAGCGAACGGACGAGAACUUUGCUUUCUUGAUGUUAGCGGAGGAGGGGAGAGUAACAUGAGGAAACUCCACCUAUCUGCCUGGGAUAACUUCGGGACACUGUAGAUAAUACCGGAUAAUAUUUUCAACCGCAUGGUUCAAAAGUGAAAGAUGGCCUUGAUGUAUCUUAUAGAUGGCUACGAGCUGCAUUGGCUAGUUGGUAAGGUAACGGCUUACCAAGGCAACGAGGCAUAGCCGACCUGAGAGGGUGGUCGGCGACACGGGAACGUGACCACGGUCCAUGCUCCUGCGGGAGGCAGCAGUAGGGAAUCUUCGGCAGAGGGCGGAAGCCUGGCGGAGCAACGCCGCGUGUGUGAUGAAGGUCCUCGGUUCGUAAAGCUCGGUUAUGGGUGAAGAACAUAUUUUUAAGGAACUGUGCACAUCGUGACGGUACCUGAUCAGAAAGCCACGGCUAACUACGUG
rnacentral:rRNA from 1 species